UGACGAUCCCAGCCCCGCCUCCCUGCCUGGCUGGAGCCAGCGUAUUGCAGCGCAGGCCGGCAGGCAGGAGGAGCAGCGCCGCGCCGGGCUGUCGCUCUCCUGGGCGGGGUCGCUGCUGGGCCGCGCGGGGCUGGCAGUGCCGCUGGAGCAUGGCACUACCCCCACCCCCCAGAAGCCGCUGCUGAGCCCCGCACGGCCCCCGCACCCCGUUGCGCAAAUCGCUGCAAACCUGCCCUGCAGCGCCCCCUGCUGGCCUCCCCGCCCAGCCUCGCUGCUGCACUCCCGGGUCCCUUCGGCCCACAGCCCCGCUGCUCCAGGAAAUGGGUGGGAGGAGGCCGGCACCCGCGCAAGCCGCACUCUCUACUGCUUGCAAGGUGCUUGGAGAUCGGUGGCUGCUAGGUGGGCCCCGCUGGUGCAGAUAUGGUUAUAAGGCCAGAAGGGACUGGUGUGAUCAGCUGAUCUGAGCCCCUGUACAGCAAAGGCCGCAGGGCUUCCCGGAGUUAAUUCCCAUUUGAACUGGAGCGUAGUGUUUAGUAAAACGUCCAGUCUUGAUGUUCAGUGAUGGAGAAUCCACCGUGACCCACAGUGGUUCUUAAAAACGAUGGUUAAGUCGCCUUAGCCUUCUCUCAGUUACGCUAAAGAGACUCAGUGUCUGGAGUCUGUCACUAGCAGGCAGGUUUUCCAACCCCUUAUUCAUUCGCCUAGCCAGAGUCAGCCCUACCUAUUUUGCUGCCCCGAGUAGCAGCCACCGAAUUGCCACCGCCGCAACAGUGGCCGAGCUGCAGCUGAAUUGCCGCUGCGGAACACGGACUGCUGCCCAUUCUCAUUGCCGCCCCAAAGAACCUUCUCCAGUUUAUCAACAUCCCUCUUGUAUUGUGGACACCAGAACUGGCCACGGUGUUCCAGCAGCAGUCGCACAGGCGCCAAAUAUAGAUGUAAAAUAACCUCUCUGCUCCCAUUCGAUAUUCCCCUGCUUACGCAGCCAAGAGUCGCAUUAGCCCUGUGACGUUGCACUCUGUAUGAUUUUAUGAAAGUAUGCUGAUGAAUGUGAAUAUAAUAUAACUAAAAUAUGCUUCAUGCAAAAGGUCUCUUGUCAGGUAUCAUUACAAAGUUUAUAAUCUACUGAGUGUGGUCAUCCUAUUUGUAUAAAUGUAUCACUCUUGUAUCUGAAACUAGAAAUAUGAAAUAUAACUAAGAGGUCCUAUUAUAGUUAUGCAAAGUGUGGGCCAUUAAUGGUGGUUUGGAAGCUUAAUGGCUCCCAUUUGCCAGGACAAUUGACUGUAGAUGGCUCUGUUUUACUUGUAAGUCUUCCUGUAUACCUGUGAGCUGGCAAAUGAGUAAUGAAGUCUUAGAGUGACGUGAUCAUGUCACCUGAACUGGAAUCCAUCUUUAACCUGAGAAGGAGGGGUGGGAACCCAGAGUGACAAAGGAUUCCCACCUUAUGCAAAAGAUAUAUAAGUGGGUGGAACAGAACAAAGGAGGCAGCCAUCAUGAGAAAUCCCCUAGCUACCACCUGAGCUGGAACAAGGGCUGUACCAGGGGGAAGGAUUCUGCCCAGACUAGGAGGGUGUCCGGUCUGUAAAAGAAACUUAUUGAAACAUCUCUAAGGUCCACAACACCUGACGAACAAAGGAAGCAGCACUGGAGUAGAGGAGGGAUCCUGAUGGAAAGAAGUUCAGCUGAUAAGACUGCUGGAACAUGUGCUAGGGACUCCUGCUGCUGUGUUCCAGCUGACUAGUAAACCUGGCUGUUUUGACAACCCUGCUUGAGUGUCACUGGGAAUGCUGGGUGA